rnacentral:rRNA from 1 species
AGAGUUUGAUCCUGGCUCAGGAUGAACGCUAGCGACAGGCUUAACACAUGCAAGUCGAGGGGCAGCGGGGGCGUAGCAAUAUGCCUGCCGGCGACCGGCGCACGGGUGAGUAACACGUAUGUAACCUGCCCUAUGCAGGGGGAUAACCCGGAGAAAUCCGGCCUAAUACCGCGUAACACCUUAGGGGAGCAUUCUCUUGAGGUUAAAGGAGAGAUCCGGCAUAGGAUGGACAUGCGUCGCAUUAGGUAGACGGCGGGGUAACGGCCCACCGUGCCGACGAUGCGUAGGGGUUCUGAGAGGAAGGCCCCCCACACUGGUACUGAGACACGGACCAGACUCCUACGGGAGGCAGCAGUGAGGAAUAUUGGUCAAUGGCCGAGAGGCUGAACCAGCCAAGUCGCGUGAGGGAAGAAUGUCCUAAGGAUUGUAAACCUCUUUUGUCGGGGAGCAAAAAGGCUCUGCGGAGUCGUAUUGAGAGUACCCGAAGAAAAAGCAUAGGCUAACUCCGUGCCAGCAGCCGCGGUAAUACGGAGGAUGCGAGCGUUAUCCGGAUUUAUUGGGUUUAAAGGGUGCGCAGGCGGCGUGUCAAGCAAGCGGUAAAAUAGCGGGGCUCAACCCCGUCGAGCCGUUUGAACUGGCGCGCUUGAGUUCAGGCGAGGUAGGCGGAAUUCGUGGUGUAGCGGUGAAAUGCAUAGAUAUCACGAAGAACUCCGAUUGCGAAGGCAGCUUACCAGUCUGCGACUGACGCUCAGGCACGAAAGUGUGGGUAUCGAACAGGAUUAGAUACCCUGGUAGUCCACACAGUAAACGAUGAGCGCUAGGUGUCCGGGUCGCAUGAGACUUGGGUGCCCGAGCGAAAGCGUUAAGCGCUCCACCUGGGGAGUACGCCGGCAACGGUGAAACUCAAAGGAAUUGACGGGGGCCCGCACAAGCGGAGGAACAUGUGGUUUAAUUCGAUGAUACGCGAGGAACCUUACCCGGGCUCAAACGACUCAGGAAUAUAUUGGAAACGAUGUAGCCAGCAAUGGUCUGAGUCGAGGUGCUGCAUGGUUGUCGUCAGCUCGUGCCGUGAGGUGUCGGCUUAAGUGCCAUAACGAGCGCAACCCCUACCGCCAGUUGCCAACGGGUAAAGCCGGGAACUCUGGCGGGACUGCCGGCGCAAGCUGCGAGGAAGGCGGGGAUGACGUCAAAUCAGCACGGCCCUUACGUCCGGGGCGACACACGUGUUACAAUGGCAGGUACAGCGGGAAGCCACCUGGUGACAGGGAGCGGAACCCGAAAGCCUGUCUCAGUUCGGAUUGGAGUCUGCAACUCGACUCCAUGAAGCUGGAUUCGCUAGUAAUCGCGCAUCAGCCAUGGCGCGGUGAAUACGUUCCCGGGCCUUGCACUCACCGCCCGUCAAG